rnacentral:rRNA from 1 species
ACGGGGAGCAGCAGGCGCGAAACCUUUACACUGCACGCAAGUGCGAUAAGGGGACCCCGAGUGCGAGGGCAUACAGUCCUCGCUUUUCGUGACCGUAAGGUGGUCUCAGAAUAAGGGCUGGGCAAGACCGGUGCCAGCCGCCGCGGUAAUACCGGCAGCCCGAGUGAUGGCCGAUAUUAUUGGGCCUAAAGCGUCCGUAGCUGGCCGGACAAGUCCGUUGGGAAAUCUGUUCGCUUAACGAGCAGGCGUCCAGCGGAAACUGUUCGGCUUGGGACCGGAAGACCUGAGGGGUACGUCCGGGGUAGGAGUGAAAUCCUGUAAUCCUGGACGGACCACCGGUGGCGAAAGCGCCUCAGGAGGACGGAUCCGACAGUGAGGGACGAAAGCUAGGGUCUCGAACCGGAUUAGAUACCCGGGUAGUCCUGGCCGUAAACAAUGUCUGCUAGGUGUGGCUCCCACUACGAGUGGGUGCUGUGCCGUAGGGAAGCCGCUAAGCAGACCGCCUGGGAAGUACGUCCGCAAGGAUGAAACUUAAAGGAAUUGGCGGGGGAGCAC